rnacentral:rRNA from 1 species
CGCCUCUUGAAUAAAAUAAGAGGUCCAGCCUGCCCAGUGACUAAUAUUCAACGGCCGCGGUAUCCUAACCGUGCGAAGGUAGCGUAAUCACUUGUUCUUUAAAUGGGGACUAGUAUGAAUGGCAUCACGAGGGUUAUACUGUCUCCUUUUUCUAAUCAGUGAAUCUAAUCUCCCCGUGAAGAAACGGGGAUACACCUACAAGACGAGAAGACCCUAUGGAGCUUUAAAUACCUCUUCAAACGUUGGACCUCCUCCCCAGUUUUAAACUCACCUAUAUUAACCCCAUACGCUAUGAAGACAACUUUAGGUUGGGGUGACCGCGGAGUACAACAUAACCUCCACGCUGAAUCAGACUCUUUAAGCCUGAGCCAAGAGCCACUGCUCAAAGCACUAAAAAAUUAACAUUUAUUGACCCAAAACAUUUGAUCAACGAACCAAGUUACCCUAGGGAUAACAGCGCAAUCCAUUUCAAGAGUCCAUAUCGACAAAUGGGUUUACGACCUCGAUGUUGGAUCAGGGUAUCCCAGUGGUGCAGCCGCUACUAAUGGUUCGUUUGUUCAACGAUUAAAACCC